rnacentral:rRNA from 1 species
CAGUAGCCGCGGUAAUACGUAGGGUGCAAGCGUUAAUCGGAAUUACUGGGCGUAAAGCGUGCGCAGGCGGUUUGUUAAGACAGAUGUGAAAUCCCCGGGCUCAACCUGGGAACUGCAUUGUGACUGGCAAGCUAGAGUGUGGCAGAGGGGGGUGGAAUUCCGCGUGUAGCAGUGAAAUGCGUAGAUAUGCGGAGGAACACCGAUGGCGAAGGCAGCCCCCUGGGCCAACACUGACGCUCAUGCACGAAAGCGUGGGGAGCAAACAGGAUUAGAUACCCCUGUAGUCCCUGUCUCUUAUACA